AUGCCCAACAGCUAGCCCACCUAAACAAUUUCAACAAACCCUUGUUAAUAACCCCUAAAUACCCUAGUAUUUAAAUUAAACAAACCAUUUUUCCCCCUUAGUAUAGGCGAUAGAAAAGGGACUACGGCGCAAUAGAGAAAGUACCGCAAGGGAACGCUGAAAGAGAAAUGAAAUAACCCAGUAAAGCCCAAAAAAGCAGAGAUUUAACCUCGUACCUUUUGCAUCAUGAUUUAGCGAGUGUACCCCAAGCAAAGAGCACUUUAGUUUGACGUCCCGAAACUACGUGAGCUACUCCAAGACAGCCUAUUAAUAGGGCGCACCCGUCUCUGUUGCAAAAGAGUGGGGAGAGCUUUGAGUAGAGGUGACAAACCUACCGAACC
rnacentral:rRNA from 1 species